UGGUGGAGUGAUUUGUCUGGUUAAUUCCGUUAACGAACGAGACCUUAUCCUGCUAAAUAGUCACACGAAUCUCGCUUCGUGCCUGACUUCUUAGAGGGACUGUUGGUGUUAACCAUCGUAAGGAAGGCAAUAACA
rnacentral:rRNA from 1 species